UUAGUGUUGCCUACAGUAGAACUAGCAUCUGCUCUCAGCCUCACAUGUGUUCAAAGGAUCUUCACAGGAGGCAAAAAAAAAAAAAAAAAAUCAGUAUUAGUGACAUCCCAGGAAAUUCUAAGCAGCUCAUAAUUACCUAUAGUCUGUCUGUAUUCUUUCAUUAAUACAUACUAGAGGGCUGGGAUGUAUAGUUCAUUGGGAAAGCCUGUGGCUAACAUGCAGGAGACCCCGAUUUGAUCUACUAGCACUAAAAGCAAAACAAAAGCCAAAAGUAUGUAAUAGGAUGUUCCUGACAUACUUGGGAGCCAAAAAUGUGACUUUCAGGAAGCGUAGAGGCAUAUCUCUUCAAAAUUACAUACCUGGAGUUUUAAUGGCUCCCUGCACCUCCCGGCACCAUCAUAGAUUUCUUCAGGUAUGCUCUCAGUGAUUAUUUGAAAAGGAUGUGGUUCCUAUUUUUUUUUUCUACUAAGCUCUUUAAACAAUCAAAUGUGGAACUCCCAUUAGAAUGCCGCCAUCAUGGACACAGGUCUCGUGCAGCCCAUCAAGCUAGCUAGGGGAGCGAAAGGGCCAUUCACAGGGGCAGUGCCUGCAGGUAUACGUGGACUUUAUGAAUGACACCAGUCCCCUAUAAUCAGCAAUAUGAAAGGCCACAUGGGAGAGGGUGAUGUGCUUGGUAGCUGUGUGACCCUUACUUCUAGGUCCUGGAGAUCCACCACUUG